rnacentral:lncRNA from 1 species
CCCGCCCUAGCGGCCGAGCGCCCGUGCCAACGGCUCCACCCGCAGUUCCUGCACAGCUGCGUUCCCGGCGGCAGGGCCAGACGGGGCUCUGGGACAGGUGACACCGAGUGGGAUCCUCGGAUAACCACAGGCGGGCGGGGGCUGGAAGCUUUGUGGGCCGUAACCCCGCGAGGCAAGAGGCGAAGGGGUCGUCUCGACUCGGACCCCAGUCGCCCUCCGCUGCUUUGCGCUCUUCCGGUUUCAAGAAUGGGGCGGGGCCCGCGCUGCACCGCCAGCCACUCUCGAGCAUGACGCCGCGGUGACGUCGCGGCGCCUCGUCAGUGCCCCUUUCCGGGAUCCGCACUCUGGGUUGCGCGGCCAGCCAACCGCGCUCGCGUAUGCAAAUACAUGCAGGUCCCGCCUCCAGGCGCGGCCGGCGGGGUCCUCUGGCCAGGCUCUCAGGCCCGGAAGCCACUUGCAAUUCGCGCCCUGCCGCCAGGGGGCGCCAGAGAGCUGCAGCCCCACGCAUGCCUGCCCCGGAGCGUCCGCGCUCCAGACGGCCGCAGAGCCAGCCCGGGCCGGGAGAGCUCUGCGUGAGGCCCCGGAAGAUCGUGUUUGCGGAUGAGCUGCGCCCCCGGGAGCCACUGCACCCUGAGAAGCAUCCCAGAGAUCUGGGACCCCGCCUCAACCCAGUACCUGACUACGAGCUGUGAGUGCCCACUCGUUGUAAGACCAGAAGGAGGCUCGCAUGGCAGCUCAUGUCAGGAGAGAGUUUGAGAAGAAGCGAGGGGAUCCUGGCUUCCUGGAUAAGCAGGCUCGCUGUAACUACCUGAAGGGUAAACUCAGGCACCUCAAGGCCCAGAUCCGCAAAUUUGAUGACCAGCAGGACAGCAACAGUGAAGACUCUGUGUACUUCUGAGUGUCCUGGAGAUGGUGGCGGGCUCCUCCUCCAAUAGGAAACCACACCAGUUCUUCCAGGGAGUAAACAUGGAUUAGACACCUACUGUGUGCAGCUACCUAAAAGCAUCCCUUCAUUUUACAGAAGGGGAAAUGAGGUUCAUAGACCUGUCUGAGGUCUCAUAUGGGGGCAAUGGCUGUGUAGAUUCCAGGGGGCAUAGUCAGAAGGCAUGAGUUGGGGCAGCCUGGCAUAAGUAUUGUGAUGGGGCAUACUAGGGGUAAGGGCUGGGCAAUGCUUGGGGCCUGCCUGCAGGGGCGCAAUCCAGGACACCUUGAUCCUGUCCACUCUGCAUAGCUCCUCAGAUGAAACUAACCUGAGCCACUGAGGAUGACAAGUCCCAGGCCACUUGCAGGCCAGGAGUCUCCUAGGAAGAUGUCUUCCAACAGAGAGGACCACAUGUGUGGAGUUUGUAGUAAAAGUAGAUCAGCUAGGGCUUGAACGCAGGCCUCGGGCUCAAUAGGCAUGGAUCUCACUCAGUCCCACUCCACAGUUGGGCCCCUAACUCCCUGGUAUUUUUUGUUUUCCAAGGCUGGGUUUCUCUGUUUAGCACUAUCCUUAAACUCACUAUAUAGACCA